GGCGGUGGGGGUGGGGGUGGGGAAGAGGGAGAGAGCAAAGGUCCUCUUUCUCUCUCCCCCGCCCCUGCCAUCCUGACUUCCUAAGGUUUUGUAAAGUAUAGUACUAUGCUCACUUCGGACUUGGACCACUUCUUUAAGCUUUCCAUCCUUAAUCUUCAGUCGGGGCUUGGCUCUCCCGCUCCCAUUUCCUUUUUCCUUAGCCCUGUUCUGCCUUUCCAGCAGUGCUAUCUCCAUUCCUAGUAUUCUACCAAUCACAUCCUUGCACUGUGAUUUAGGGGCACAUCCUCAGCUGAGAGGAGAGCCCUGCACUCUGCUAUAUGUUUAUUAGUUAUGAACUGAAAAAAGGAAGGCUUGACUUCCUGGGUCAUGGCAGUGAGGGAGUCUGGGUGACAGGAAGCAAGCGGCUGGCCUGUCAAGCCUAUUGCUAAGCUGCUAGAUUAACCUUGUCUUGAGAACAACGUGGUAGCCCUAUGUGCUAGUCUGUGUAAGGAAGACCAAUUUCCUUGGAAACCUAUCCAGUGGGUUUAUCUUCCAGAUCUGAUAGACGCAAAAGGAAAAAAGGGGAACAUGGGCAAAGGAAGAUUUGAUGAAAAAGAAAAUGUGUCCAACUGCAUCCAGUUGAAAACCUCGGUUAUUAAGGGUAUUAAAAAUCAAUUGCUAGAGCAAUUUCCAGGUAUUGAACCAUGGCUUAAUCAAAUCAUGCCUAAGAAAGACCCUGUGAAAAUUGUCCGAUGCCAUGAACACAUAGAAAUCCUUACAGUAAAUGGAGAAUUACUGUUUUUUAGACAAAGAGAAGGGCCUUUUUAUCCAACUUUAAGAUUACUUCAUAAAUAUCCUUUUAUCUUGCCACAUCAGCAGGUUGAUAAAGGAGCCAUCAAAUUUGUACUCAGUGGAGCAAAUAUCAUGUGUCCUGGCUUAACUUCUCCCGGAGCUAAGCUUUAUCCUGCUGCAGUAGAUACUAUUGUUGUAUCCUUCCCAGGGUUUAACUGCUGAAAACUGUUCACUGUAUUCUUGUCAUCCCUGAAAGAUCUAUCAUCCAAGAGAAUAUUUCAUGUGCUUUUAAUUUAUAUUAUUAUUUUUUUCAGAGACAAGCCAAGGCUAGUCUUGAACUUGUGACUCUGAUGUCCCAGUCUCCCAACUGCUAGGAUUAGUCAUGUGCUACCACACCCUGUUGAAGGGAACUUUUUAAUUUUGGCCAAAGAGAAAUGAGAGAUAAACUCAAAUAAACCAACUGUUUUUUUCCUUUUCUAUUUCCUUCCUUCCUUUCUUCCUUCCUUUCUUCCUUCCUUUCUUCCUUUCUUUUCUUUUCUUUUCUUUUCUUUCUUUCUUUCUUGUUGUUGUUGGGUUUUUUUGUUUGUUUGUUUGUUUUUCGAGACAGGGUUUCUCUGUGUAGCCCUGGCUGUCCUGGAACUCACUCUGUAGACCAGGCAGGCCUCAAACUCAGAAAUAUACCUGCCUCUGCCUCCUGAGUGCUGGGAUUAAAGGCGUGCGCCACCAUGCCCGGCCAUUUUACUUAUUUCUUUGAGAUCAGUCUUAUUAUGUAGCAUUGGAUGGCCUCAAACUCAGUAUGUGGUCCAGGCUGGUUUAAAACUCACCACUUAUCCUAAAUUGGUCUCAUGUUAAUGGCAAUUCUCCUACCUCUGCCUCCUGAAUGUUGGGAUUAUAGGUGUGUAUCACCACGCUUGACUAAAGGAGACAUACUCUUUCUUGGCCAUGAAAAGAUGUGAAAGAAACUUGGAAACAAGCAUCCUUUUUCGUUUUUCUUUUUUGUUUUGAGAAAGUAUCUCAUGUAACCCAGGGUGGCCAAGGAUACUCUAGAACUAACCUUGCCUCUACCUUCCCAGUUCUGUAAUUACAGGCAUGUGCCACCAUGCCUGGCUUCCUUUUUUGUUUGUUUGUUUGGUUUUGGUUUUUGUUUUUCAAGACAGGGUUUCUUUGUUUCAUCCCAGCUGUCCUGGAACUCACUCUGUGGACCAGGCUGGCCUCAAACUCAGAAAUUCGCCUGCCUCUGCUUCCUGAGUGCUGGGAUUAAAGGUGUGCGCCACCACGCCUGGCCUUGGCUCCCUUUUUAAAAUCUUUUUUAGCAAGUAAGGUUCUUUUACAAUUUUUUACACAUAUAAAACAUAAUUAUAUCUUAUUCACUUCUUCUAAACUCUAGUUACAUUCUGGUUUUGUUGUUGUUUUGGUUUUUCUUUUCUUUUUUUUUUUUUUUUGAAACAGAAUCUACUAUGUAGCCUUGGAUGGCCUCAAACUCACAAAAGUCUGCCUGCCUCUGCCUUCGGAGUCCUGGGUUUAAAGGUAUGUGCUGUAAUACUCAUCUAUCUUUUCUUUCUUCUUUUUUAAUAUUUAUCUCAAUAUAUGUAUAUACACACACACACACACACACACACACACACACACACAUAUAUAUAUAUAUAUAUAUAUAUAUAUAUAUAUAUAUAUAUACACACACACAUAUAUACAUAUACAUAUAUAUAUAUAAGCCUGGCUGGCUUAGAUUUUACUGUGUAGCCCAGACUAUCCUUCUCUUCUCUAUAAUCCUGCUUUUUGAGUUUUAGGAUUACAGGUGUGUACUACUAUUCCCAGUUCUCCUCUUGCCUGUCUGCCUCCUUCCUUCCUUCCUUCUUUCCUUCCUCAGUCUUACAGUCGUAAACUGGCCUUGAAUUUACGAUAUAGCCAACACUAGUUUUGAACUCUUGAUUCAUGGGUCAUUGGAUUACUGGCAUAUAUUAUCAUCAUGCCUGUUUUCUUUUUUAUUUCUUUAACAAAAUAAAUGUGUGUGUGUGUGUGUGUGUGUGUGUGUGUGUGUGUGUGUGUGUAUACGUGUGUAUGUGUGUACCUAAAAGGACAACUUUUAGGAGUCAAUUCCCUCUACUCUAGGUUCUUAGGAUAGAACUCAGGUUGUCAGGCCUGUGUCUAAAAGCACUUCUACCUUCUGAAAUAUCUUGCCCUCCCUUUUAAUUUCUUAAUGAUAAAUUAUGUUUCAUUUUACAUGGAUUAAUUGUACAAGCUAAUUGAAAAGUUAUGAAGGAGUUCCUGUGUCAUUGCAGCCUGUUUACACCCUAUUAUCAGACUCAGGAAGCAGUCUGAAACUUGACUAUGAAUAGGUUAUAGGUGAUAUGAGUGGACUCCUUUGCACGUGAACUUGUCACUUUAAUGUUUAGUUUGAUUAUCCAGAUUCAAUGGAGUAAAAGCGUUCAAGAGGGAACUGAAUUGAGGCAGCAGCUUGUUUUCAGGCAAUCAUGGCAGAAGGAAAACAACAUGCUUUAUGUGUGGGUGUCAUGAAGAUGUCUGCAGAAGAUAUUGAGAAAGUAAACAAAGGAAUUGGCAUUGAAAAUAUCCAUUAUCUAAAUGAUGGUCUGUGGCAUAUGAAGACAUAUAAAUGAGCCUCAAAAGGAAUGUGCAUGGGCUAACUAUGGAUACUGUGCUGUAUCUGUGUCUGUGUCUGUGUGACAGCAUGAAGACAAAGCCUCUAUGAUUAUGCUGAAUAAAAAUUCCGCGGAUGCUUAAUUUCUGUUAGUUUCAGAAAUUAUUUUAACUUUUCUUAAACAAAAAUUAUAAUGUGGUAGCAAACUUGGCUAUUAAAAGGUAUAUGGUAAAUAACUCAA